rnacentral:rRNA from 1 species
UACGAAGGGGGCUAGCGUUGUUCGGAAUUACUGGGCGUAAAGCGUAUGCAGGCGGAUCGUUAAGUCGGGGGUGAAAUCCCGAGGCUCAACCUCGGAACUGCCUUCGAUACUGGCGAUCUUGAGUCCGGGAGAGGUGAGUGGAACUCCGAGUGUAGAGGUGAAAUUCGUAGAUAUUCGGAAGAACACCAGUGGCGAAGGCGGCUCACUGGCCCGGUACUGACGCUGAGAUACGAAGGCCAGGGGAGCAAACGGG